ACUGCAGUCGAGCGGAAGAUGGGAGCUUGCUCCCUGAUGUUAGCGGCGGACGGGUGAGUAACACGUGGGUAACCUGCCUGUAAGACUGGGAUAACUCCGGGAAACCGGGGCUAAUACCGGAUGGUUGUUUGAACCGCAUGGUUCAGACAUAAAAGGUGGCUUCGGCUACCACUUACAGAUGGACCCGCGGCGCAUUAGCUAGUUGGUGAGGUAACGGCUCACCAAGGCGACGAUGCGUAGCCGACCUGAGAGGGUGAUCGGCCACACUGGGACUGAGACACGGCCCAGACUCCUACGGGAGGCAGCAGUAGGGAAUCUUCCGCAAUGGACGAAAGUCUGACGGAGCAACGCCGCGUGAGUGAUGAAGGUUUUCGGAUCGUAAAGCUCUGUUGUUAGGGAAGAACAAGUGCCGUUCAAAUAGGGCGGCACCUUGACGGUACCUAACCAGAAAGCCACGGCUAACUACGUGCCAGCAGCCGCGGUAAUACGUAGGUGGCAAGCGUUGUCCGGAAUUAUUGGGCGUAAAGGGCUCGCAGGCGGUUUCUUAAGUCUGAUGUGAAAGCCCCCGGCUCAACCGGGGAGGGUCAUUGGAAACUGGGGAACUUGAGUGCAGAAGAGGAGAGUGGAAUUCCACGUGUAGCGGUGAAAUGCGUAGAGAUGUGGAGGAACACCAGUGGCGAAGGCGACUCUCUGGUCUGUAACUGACGCUGAGGAGCGAAAGCGUGGGGAGCGAACAGGAUUAGAUACCCUGGUAGUCCACGCCGUAAACGAUGAGUGCUAAGUGUUAGGGGGUUUCCGCCCCUUAGUGCUGCAGCUAACGCAUUAAGCACUCCGCCUGGGGAGUACGGUCGCAAGACUGAAACUCAAAGGAAUUGACGGGGGCCCGCACAAGCGGUGGAGCAUGUGGUUUAAUUCGAAGCAACGCGAAGAAACUUACCAGGUCUUGACAUCCUCUGACCAUCCUAGAGAUAGGACGUCCCCUUCGGGGGCACAGAGACAAGUGGUGCAUGGUUGUCGUCACCUCGUGUCGCGAGAUGU
rnacentral:rRNA from 1 species